UGGUUGCCCUCCAUUGAUGAAGCUUUUGUUGGCACCAUAAAUUGAUUUUGCUUCACACUGUCUUGAUCAAGAGUGUGUGAAGCUUUCUACGAGUUGUAGUGUUUGCAUUGUUACAGUGGGGAAAUGUUUGAAGCAGAUGCAAGAGGGCUGAAUAGCUUGAUCUUCAUAUGCCAUGCACUGAAGUUGUUGUUGGCUUGCAAUAAGGCUUUGUUGGUGACUAUAACUCUUGUUGGGCAUAAGUGCUCCCUUAGUUGAGUUGUCAAGCUUGAGGGUUUUUUAUUAUUUGUGAAUGCUAGGAGUUCACAUGUACAAGUUGUACC
rnacentral:lncRNA from 1 species